rnacentral:lncRNA from 1 species
UUAAUGUCAUACUUAUACUUUUAUAACAGAUAAACUAUUCUAUAUGAUUUAAUAUUUAUUUUUUUAUUUUCAGGGGACAAUUUCACUCACUCAAUAAUGACGAGCUUAAAGAAAUGCCUGUUGGGUAAGUUCUUAAGAUUUUGUUUAUUUUUUGUUUUGUUUUUUUGGGUCAAAGUUAGGAAGAGAGAUGCAAUAUUCUCACACAUGCAUGAUGCACUAACAAGGUGCACAUGAGAUAACUGGUUUGCAAAUUAAAGUCAUUUCCUAUUGAACUACACCCGCUAACAACUUUUGUUUACUUUUUAUUUGGACUUUUUCUCUCUGUAGUUUUUACUAUUUCUUGUGUUUACGUUUGAGGAGAGAACAAUGAAACUAAACAUCAAUAGGGCUGUAUAUCAAGCUUGGGCUAAAGAAGAAUUAUUCCUCCAACUUUUCACAUAUCCACCAAGAAAUUAGUGCUUGGUUAAGUUCGGCAUAACUUCUGCAAGCCCAUAACCAUAAGGGCUGUAUAUCAAGGUGAACCACAUCAGGCUGCAAAAUGUAGCAACCCAAGCAAAAAGCCCAUCAUACCCAUCUCCAGACAUUGUUGUCUUGGGGUUUGAGAAAUGAAUAGAGGAAUCGGGGGUAGUGUGUUCUGAAAAUAAUAUGGUUGUAAUAUUUAUAGAAAUGGUGGUAUAAGAGAUAAGAAAUCUAUGGAUGAAAUUGAGAUGAAAGGAUUUGAUUCGAUGGUUGUUGUAAGAUGGUAAACCUUAUCAGAUGAAAUAGGGAUGUUAGAACAUAAUGAAUCAGACUCAUCUUCAGCUACUAUCGUUAUUAUCUGACGAAUGUAGAUGAGAUAUAAAUGGAAGACCAUAAUGAAUCAAACUUAUCUUAAAGUAUCACCGUUAUUGUCUAACUGAUAUAGAUGGGAUAAGAUGUUUUUUUUUUAUUAGAGUCAUGUGACACUUAUUUUUUUACUUUUAAAGUCUGAAAUAAAAUGUUGUUUUCGGAAUCUUGUCCAAUUGUUGAAAUGUUCAUAAGAAAACUAACACAUAAUAAGUUUACAAAACAAAAAAGUAUUUCAACCAAAUUAAAAUAUAGAAAAAUUUAGAUUCCCAAAUAUAGACUGCGCAUGUAUAUAUAGAAUAGAGCCUCCCAUUGUGGGAGAGAUACCUUUAAACCCUGAAAGAUUCCAUUGGAAGUCUACAAAGGGCUCCAUCUACCAUUUAACAGAGACUAACUACUCUUUCCAAAAUUGAUAAUCAUUUGAUUUAAUGGCAUUUAGUUUUCAUUGUGUCAAAGUAGAUUAUGAGUUCAAAUUUCAUGCAAGAGAACGUAAAAGUGUUGUUAAAUAAGUAUUGGUGACCUUAUAUAUGAUGAAAUUGUCAUCCAAUUUGAACAAAAAAUAAAUUGAGCAUGACAAUGGUUUUCCCCAAAAAAAUGGUUACACAAAUUAUGAACUCAAUCUUUUACAGGAAAGAAGAAUUGAGAUGUUUGAGAAGGACUGAUCUCGUUGAUAUUUUGGCAAAUAGUUUGCCACGUAACACUCUUCAUUUGGGGUGUGAAGUGCUUUCUAUUAAGUUGGAUCCCAUAACUUCUUCUCCUGUUCUUCAACUUCAAGGUGGAAGACUUUUGAACGCC